ACGUAGGACCCAAGCGUUGUCCGGAUUUACUGGGUGUAAAGGGAGCGCAGGCGGAUUAUUAAGUCGAUUGUGAAAUCUUGCGGCUCAACCGCAAAACAGCAGUCGAUACUGUUAAUCUUGAGUGUGGAAGAGAGUGGCGGAAUUCAUGGUGUAGCAGUGAAAUGCGUAGAUAUCAUGAAGAACACCGGUUGCGAAGGCGGCCACUUAGUCCAUUACUGACGCUCAUGCUCGAAAGCGUGGGGAUCAAACAGGAUUAGAUACCCUGGUAGUCCACGCCCUAAACGAUGAAUACUCGGUGUCGGGUCGCAAGAUUCGGCGCCUAAGCAAACGCAUUAAGUAUUCCACCUGGGAAGUACGAUCGCAAGGUUG
rnacentral:rRNA from 1 species